CUCAGAAAGUCCUGCUAGAACUCUUUGUUCUCUCCGUAUCUGCUGCUCUGCUUUGUGUAAAUCCUGCUUGCUAUAUUUCCAGGGAAAUUCCAAUGGAAUGAAGCCUCCUAUACGUAAAAAGAGAACAAUGCCAGUACAUGAAAAAAGAAAAUAUUUAGGACUUUCAAAGUUUUUAGAUCUACCAAUUGUUCAAAUGUCAUGAGAUCCUGGAAACAGAGGCUACUGGGAAAUAAUAUUUAGAAGAUACAUGCCUUGAACAUGUGCCACUUGAUGCAGUUACACAUCUUGGUCACACAGAAGAGUUAAUAAUUCCUGAAGUGAAUACUAAUGAGAAUAAUGUCCACCUUAGUCACUGAAGAAACUAAAUA